AAAUUGAAGAGUUUGAUCAUGGCUCAGAUUGAACGCUGGCGGCAGGCCUAACACAUGCAAGUCGAGCGGUAACACAGAGAGCUUGCUCUCGGGUGACGAGCGGCGGACGGGUGAGUAAUGUCUGGGAAACUGCCUGAUGGAGGGGGAUAACUACUGGAAACGGUAGCUAAUACCGCAUAA
rnacentral:rRNA from 2 species